rnacentral:lncRNA from 1 species
UCUCGGCGAUGGAGGGUAUGUCGGGCAUGGCUUCCGGUUCGUCGACCACGACCUGGUCGUGCUCCGCCAAGUGCGACGGGUCCGUGGCCGCGGACAAGAUCUGCGGCGGCAAGAACGUCUCCACUGCCAGCACCUUGGGCCUCGGCACGUGUGCCGAGACCAAGAAGGCAAUCUUCGACGUCCCCAAGUACGCCACCUCGGCGCACAUGGUCCCGUGCGACCCCGGCUACUGCAAGAUGUGCACCGCGGCGGGUGAGAAGACCAUGAUGGGCUCCACGGUGACGUGCUACAACAACUCGGUGACCAU